rnacentral:rRNA from 1 species
GAUGAACGCUGGCGGCGUGCCUAAUACAUGCAAGUAGAACGCUGAAGCUUGGUGCUUGCACCGAGCGGAUGAGUUGCGAACGGGUGAGUAACGCGUAGGUAACCUGCCUCUUAGCGGGGGAUAACUAUUGGAAACGAUAGCUAAUACCGCAUAAAAGUCGAUAUCGCAUGAUAUUGAUUUGAAAGGUGCAAUUGCAUCACUAAGAGAUGGACCUGCGUUGUAUUAGCUAGUUGGUGAGGUAACGGCUCACCAAGGCGACGAUACAUAGCCGACCUGAGAGGGUGAUCGGCCACACUGGGACUGAGACACGGCCCAGACUCCUACGGGAGGCAGCAGUAGGGAAUCUUCGGCAAUGGGGGCAACCCUGACCGAGCAACGCCGCGUGAGUGAAGAAGGUUUUCGGAUCGUAAAGCUCUGUUGUAAGAGAAGAACGAGUGCGAGAGUGGAAAGUUCACACUGUGACGGUAACUACC